rnacentral:rRNA from 1 species
GACGAACGCUGGCGGCGUGCUUAACACAUGCAAGUCGAACGGAAAGGCCCUGCUUUUGUGGGGUGCUCGAGUGGCGAACGGGUGAGUAACACGUGAGUAACCUGCCCUUGACUUUGGGAUAACUUCAGGAAACUGGGGCUAAUACCGGAUAGGAGCUCCUGCUGCAUGGUGUGGGUUGGAAAGUUUCGGCGGUUGGGGAUGGACUCGCGGCUUAUCAGCUUGUUGGUGGGGUAGUGGCUUACCAAGGCUUUGACGGGUAGCCGGCCUGAGAGGGUGGCCGGCCACAUUGGGACUGAGAUACGGCCCAGACUCCUACGGGAGGCAGCAGUGGGGAAUAUUGCACAAUGGGCGGAAGCCUGAUGCAGCGACGCCGCGUGCGGGAUGACGGCCUUCGGGUUGUAAACCGCUUUCGCCUGUGACGAAGCGUGAGUGACGGUAAUGGGUAAAGAAGCACCGGCUAACUACGUG